rnacentral:rRNA from 1 species
CAGUCGACGGCAGCGCGGACUUCGGUCUGGCGGCGAGUGGCGAACGGGUGAGUAAUGUAUCGGAACGUGCCUAGUAGCGGGGGAUAACUACUCGAAAGAGUAGCUAAUACCGCAUACGCCCUACGGGGGAAAGGGGGGGAUCGCAAGACCUCUCACUAUUAGAGCGGCCGAUAUCGGAUUAGCUAGUUGGUGGGGUAAAGGCUCACCAAGGCGACGAUCCGUAGCUGGUUUGAGAGGACGACCAGCCACACUGGGACUGAGACACGGCCCAGACUCCUACGGGAGGCAGCAGUGGGGAAUUUUGGACAAUGGGGGAAACCCUGAUCCAGCCAUUCCGCGUGUGCGAUGAAGGCCUUCGGGUUGUAAAGCACUUUUGGCAGGAAAGAAAUCGCACGGGUUAAUAACCCGUGUGGAUGACGGUACCUGCAGAAUAAGCACCGGCUAACUACGUGCCAGCAGCCGCGGUAAUACGUAGGGUGCAAGCGUUAAUCGGAAUUACUGGGCGUAAAGCGUGCGCAGGCGGUUCGGAAAGAAGGAUGUGAAAUCCCAGGGCUUAACCUUGGAACUGCAUUCUUAACUACCGGGCUAGAGUAUGUCAGAGGGAGGUGGAAUUCCGCGUGUAGCAGUGAAAUGCGUAGAUAUGCGGAGGAACACCGAUGGCGAAGGCAGCCUCCUGGGAUAAUACUGACGCUCAUGCACGAAAGCGUGGGGGAGCAAACAGGAUUAGAUACCCUGGUAGUCCACGCCCUAAACGAUGUCAACUAGCUGUUGGGGCCUUCGGGCCUUAGUAGCGCAGCUAACGCGUGAAGUUGACCGCCUGGGGAGUACGGUCGCAAGAUUAAAACUCAAAGGAAUUGACGG